UAACAAAAACAUGGUUUUAAAGAUUAUAAUUUAAAAUCUAUUCUGCUCACUGAAUAUAUGUAUUUAAAGAGCUGCAGUAUCCUGACUGUGCAAAGGUAGCAAAGUCAUUUGUUUAUUAAUUAUAAACUGGAAUGAAAGAGUUGAUGAGAUAAAGACUGUCUCUAAUUAAUUAGUAGAAUUUAAAUUUUAAGUUAAAAUUCUUAAAUUUAUUUUUUAGACGAGAAGACCCUAUAGAAUUUUAUAAUUUUCUUAUAUUUUUAAUGUUAUUUUCUUUGUUAGGAGUAUAAGAAAUUUAUUUGAUUGGGAGGAUUAUUAAAUUAAAUUAACUUUUUAAUUGAAAACCAAUAAUUUUUGAUUACUUGAUUUUUAAAUAAAUAAAAGAUUAAAUUACCUUAGGGAUAACAGCGUAAUAUUUUUGGAGAGAUCAUAUUAAUAAAAAUGUUUGCGACCUCGAUGUUGAAUUAAGAUAAAAAUUAAAUGCAGAAGUUUAAUAAUUGAGUCUGUUCGACUUUUAAAAUCUUACGUGAUCUGAGUUC
rnacentral:rRNA from 1 species